AUCUGUGGCCAUACCACCCUGAAUGCACCUGAUCUCGUCUGAGCUCAGAAGCUAAGUGGGGUCAGCCAUGGGUGGGAGAUUAAAGUAAACCUCACUGAAUCACAUUUU
ensembl:rRNA 5S_rRNA 5S ribosomal RNA